CAAAACCUUUCUCCCCUCUUCUCUCCCGCCUCUUCUCUCCCAAAACCCUUCUCCCCUCCUCUCCCGCCUCUUCUCUCCCAAAACCCUUCUCCCCUCCCUUCAAUAACCGACUGAAACUCUCUCUCUCUCUCUCUCUCUCUCUCCAACGUCUCUUAAUCUCCAUUUUCCACUUUGGCCUCUCUUGAUCUGGCUUCCAUUUCCAUUGCUGGUUGAAGACGCUGAUCUCUCGGCCGUUGCCCUCAUUCUCGCCAGAACACACCAAAGUCCAAGAAGGCCCAUAAGAGGAAGUACGCUGAUCUCUCGGCUGUGCCCUCCUCGCCAUAACAUGCCUCUCUCUUUGGAUCACCUAAUACAUGGAAGGGUGUACGGAAGAUUUCUAGAAGCCAUAGCUGCUGUUGUCUCAACAAUCGGAGCUGUGAACAGAGUACCAGUACGUUGCCCUAUUUUUCUUAUUCUUUUUAUUUUUCCACCAUUUGAUCCGUAUCUAUGCUUUGGAAUGUAUGGAUAUGAUUUCUUCUUCUUCUUUUUCUAUUUAUUUAUUUAUUUGCCCUGUCUCGAGUUUUAUUUUUGUGGGACUCAUUAUCUAUCUGUGUAUUAUAACAAAUCUGCACUCUAAUCUUUUGAAGAAAUGCUUCAACCAAGACCCUUUUUGGAUGAAGCCAUGCUAUUUGUAUGGUUGGAUGGGCCACAAACAAAACAUAGAUACUCUUAUAUAGCAAUAUCAUAACCCUUUGAUCAAUGACUCUUUUACAUUUAGUCUCUAUAUUAUUAUUUUUUUUCUUUUUGUUGAUUGUCCUAUUGAUGAUCGAUUGCGAGUAAUAUAUAGCCAAUGGUCUUGUGUGCAAUGGGAAGAAGUCUAAUGUUAUUUUUUUAAUGGAGAAGAGUAGUAAUAUUGGUCUUCAUUUUUUUAAUUGGUAAAAGUUACAUGCAUUUUGAGGUUUUAGGAGUUUAAACUGACACCCUUUUGUUUUCUUUUGUAUUGAUUUUUGGGGAUGGAUUUGCCAUUGCAGUUGGAGGUGAUACUAGAGGACCUGCCAAGGCUGGCGAUGGAUUUGGCAAAAAGGAUGUGGUCGCAGUGCAGCCUGGCCCUAGCAACCAGGUGGAAUUUAAUAGACCCUUAUGAUUUAUUAUUAUUAUUAUUAUUAUUUAUUUAUUUUUUAUGAUGUUCACAUCACAUGGUUAUAGUAGAUUUGAGUGUUAUUUGCAUGAUCUUAUCAUAAUGUCUUUUGAUUGUUUCGGUGGUAAAUGAAUUUGCUAGAUUGCUCAUUAGGGUUCUUUUACUCAUGGAAUAAGCUAUAUGCAUUCUCAGGUAAAGAUUUCUUCUCAAUAUCACUUGCUUACUGAAAAUAUAAAUCUUGAAAUUUGAUACUGUAUAUACUAUUUAGUGGCAUUUUUGUAUGGAUGCAAAACUUUUUUCUUCAAAGGGCAUAAAGACUUGAUUUUGUAGGAAGCCAAAUCCUUGGAGAAAGAUUCUAUUCGUCACAUUUGGGCAUGGGAAAUGUGAUGCUGUUGAAUCCAUAAAAUUUGUUUGGAUACUGGGAAAGAAUUGAAAGGAAUUCUAUGGUGCAGGGGACAAUAGGAAAGCAACAAAAACUGUGAUCCUUGCCAGCAUGACAGCAUUUAUAGCGGUGGCCAUCUUGGGUUCAAGCUUAUACUACUGUAAAUGGGGCAAGAAGAGAACACAACGAGGUAAACUUCUACUCAAGAAUCACAAAAUCUGGGAAAUUCUUAGGCCUUAUUUGGUAGACACCUAAAAAUGAUUUGAUCUCAUUUUAAUUAACAAUAAUUAUGUAUUAAAGAUCCAAACUGUUGAACUGAUGUGGCCCUCAUGGAUUGGAUAUGUCCAAAAACUCCAUAUGAUUGGGUGCAUAAAAAUAGGCGGUUAAGAUAAAAUAGUGUCAACAAUCCAAAUCCAACUGAAAAAAAACCAAAUUAAAUGGUGAGGAUCUUCCAAUCUAGGAGAAUUGGGGGUGUCAUAAACAAUGAGACCUGUCAAGUCAACAACUCCAUCACCAAACUAUGUGCCCCACAUGCAUGGACUAUGAAGCUUCAACAAAAUGUAUGUUUGUUGAGGCUUUGGACUAUACAGUUCGUCUUUAACUAUGGCCAACUGAGGAUCUAGUUAUCCUUCAAAAAAAAAAAAAAAAAACCAAGGAUAUUUUUUUAGCUUUCAUGUAAUCUUUCUUGUUUUUAACAAAAUGAUUAACGGAUGACAUUCUCUUCUAUCUGCAACUCAUAUAGAGCUUUGGAAUGACAGACACUAAAGAAACAUUCUCUUACUCCCAUCUUCCUUUGUAAUUCCGGUUAACUCCAUUCUACAAGUAAGUAUGCUACUCGCCGAAGUUUGAAUUAGGUUCCUUUCUCUAUUUUUUUUUCCUUGAUUUUUGAGAGUAUACUGAAUGAGUAAAAUCUUCCAAGAAUAGCAAAGCAGCUGGAAACAUCUGAACCCCUGUUCUCCAUCUGAUAUUUAUCUUCUUUAUAAAGUAACUACCAUUUUGAUUAUUUAUGUGCUCUAACAUUUGGCAUUUGUGUAUUUAAGAUAAAGAUGGUCUGUACAAGGUUUCUAAGUCUCCUACCUGGAUACACUCAGAUAUUAUGGAUGAUCAUGUACACAUGGAGCCAUG